rnacentral:rRNA from 1 species
UACGUAGGGAGCGAGCGUUGUCCGGAAUUACUGGGUGUAAAGGGUGCGUAGGCGGGGGACCAAGUCAGGUGUGAAAACUAUCGGCUCAACCGAUAGCCUGCAUUUGAAACUGGUUCUCUUGAGUGAAGUAGAGGCAGGCGGAAUUCCCGGUGUAGCGGUGAAAUGCGUAGAGAUCGGGAGGAACACCAGUGGCGAAGGCGGUCUGCUGGGCUUUAACUGACGCUGAGGCACGAAAGCAUGGGUAGCAAACAGGAUUAGAUACCCUGGUAGUCCAUGCCGUAAACGAUGAUUACUAGGUGUGGGUGGUCUGACCCCAUCCGUGCCGGAGUUAACACAAUAAGUAAUCCACCUGGGGAGUACGGCCGCAAGGUUGAAACUCAAAGGAAUUGACGGGGGCCCGCACAAGCAGUGGAGUAUGUGGUUUAAUUCGAAGCAACGCGAAGAACCUUACCAGGUCUUGACAUCCCAAGAAAGCUUAAGAGAUUAGGCUGUGCCCUUCGGGGAACUUGGAGACAGGUGGUGCAUGGUU